rnacentral:lncRNA from 10 species
CUAACAUCUGGGCCUCGGACGUCUCAAAAGUGCUCUAUUGACUUUUUCUUUUAAACCAAUGUACCGAAUCCCACUCGGUUGGCAGGAGGCCACGGGCGGAUUUGGGGCGGCACAGAGCACAGCCGAGUGCCAGGGUGUACCCCGCCGCAGCAUUUUUCCAAGGCUCUGCCUGGCUGGCCCUGCUCGCAGUGGGAGCUGUGGUCCCCGCAGAACGGCGCGUCCUGGGCAGGCUGCGCGCGGGUGAUUCAUGCAUUCAUGCAUAUCUGUGGGAAGCUGGGAACCAAGCUGGUGAGCUCGGCUGCCAAGUAGGCCUUGCUGGCCCUGCUUUCCCCUGGGGCUGGGCAACCCCAGGCUCCUUCGUGACUCCUCAGAAUCUCGGACACCCCCUGAAUUCCACCCUGGUGGGCCAUUUGUGGUCUGUGCCCCAUCCAGGGCCUGAAAGAGGUGCACCAACCUCCUACAUGGAUUCCACAGAUCCUGAUUCAGACAGCGAGCACCCCGGACUAUAACGAUACCUGGGGGAAAUAGACAGAGUCUGCGCACCACCGAAUUCCAGCUGGUGGACUUCAGACCCGGGUUUGAAGCCUGGCUCUGCCACAUCCUGAUCAUGUGGACUUAGAUCACCUGAGUGAGUAAUCACAGAUGGCUGCUUGGAGGUGGCAAGAGAUGGACGGGGGGUUUCCAGUCUGUCAUCCCGGGUUCCAGCUUGUCCUGGUGGCUCCAGUUUGUCGUCACUCCCUCCCACUUCCCAUCCAUCCUUCCUUCUUGGUGGCUGCCCUGCUGACUUGAGGAUCCAGCGUCAAAUUCAAAGAAGCAGCCCCAUGUAGACUGGUGAACCAGCUCCCCAAGUUGCAUAAGGUAAAUCUCUACGAUAAAUCCCUCCAGUUGAUUCUGCUGUGGUCAAACCCUGAUACAACAAUUUAAGCCUGAAUCUCAUUUCGUGUACUUUAAUAUAUAAUAACUCAAGCCUGUCUUCAUUCCUCCAUUGUUUUCAAAUAUUUAAAGCAAAUACCUAUGAGUAUGUGAGGGAUACCUAUGUCUGCCACACAUCAUGGUUAAAACUCUGUUUGAAGAUUUUAAAAAGCACCUUGGCAAUGCCUGGCAGGUCUGUCUGGAAAGGAGCAGAGAGGCCAGGGUGGGAGGGAAUCCCCCUGCCUUCGACCCAGACGCCUUGGUUCUCCCAAAUCACUUGAUAGAUUUUCCCCAGACCUGUCCCUGAGGCCCUGGACUUGGCUGUGGCUUUGAGGGCGGGAACGCCUCCGAGCUGGCCGCUGGGGAACGCGGACUGUCUAGUGGAAAAUCCUGAUGCCAACUAGAGCUCUGUGUCGUAGGCACACGGCUAGACUGGAGGGACGCGCCCACACGAUAGGAAGUGAUGUGUCUUGCUGGACAAUGCCAGCAGAUACUAUUUGAUAUUUAUAAACUUUUCCAGACUCUCAGAGCAGAAGAUGAGCAGCUUCAUUUUUACAACCACAAAUAGUACAUUCCUAAGCUUGUACGUGUGUGUAUACAUAUAUGCAUUAGAAUGACUGAGUGUAACUCACAAAAGAAGAAAAAACAAUGAAGCAAAUCCAUGACUGAGUUUCCAUUGGCCUAAAGGAGAAUACAAUAAUUCAUAAAUACCUCUCCAUUUAUACAAAGGAAGAAAUGCGGUCAGGCACGGUGGCUCAGGCCCCUAAUCUCAGCACUUUGGGAGUGCCGAGGUGGGAGGAUCACUUGAGCCUGGGAGUUCAUGACCAGCCUGGGCAACACAGCAAGACCCUAUCUCUACAAAACUUUUAAAAAUCAGCCAGGCAUGGUGGUGUGCGCCUGUAGUCUCACCUAUUUGGGAGGCUGAGGUGGGAGGAUCGCUGGAGCCUGGGAGGUCAAGGUUGCAGUGAGCCAUGAUCAAGCCUCUGCACACCAGCCUGGGUGACAGAGUGAGAUCUUGUCUCAAAAUAAAAUAAUAAAAUAAAAUAAAAUAAAGAAACAGCAAUGAACAAAUGGAG